GACGAACGCUGGCGGCGUGCCUAAUACAUGCAAGUUGAGCGCUGAAGGUUGGUACUUGUACCAACUGGAUGAGCAGCGAACGGGUGAGUAACGCGUGGGGAAUCUGCCUUUGAGCGGGGGACAACAUUUGGAAACGAAUGCUAAUACCGCAUAAAAACUUUAAACACAAGUUUUAAGUUUGAAAGAUGCAAUUGCAUCACUCAAAGAUGAUCCCGCGUUGUAUUAGCUAGUUGGUGAGGUAAAGGCUCACCAAGGCGAUGAUACAUAGCCGACCUGAGAGGGUGAGCGGCCACAUUGGGACUGAGACACGGCCCAAACUCCUACGGGAGGCAGCAGUAGGGAAUCUUCGGCAAUGGACGAAAGUCUGACCGAGAAACGCCGCGUGAGUGAAGAAGGUUUUCGGAUCGUAAAAAUCUGUUGGUAGAGAAGAACGUUGGUGAGAGUGGAAAGCUCAUCAAGUGACGGUAACUACCCAGAAAGGGACGGCUAACUACGUG
rnacentral:rRNA from 1 species